AUUGAACGCUGGCGGCAGGCCUAACACAUGCAAGUCGAACGCGUGGCGGACGGGUGAGUAAUGUCUGGGAAACUGCCCGAUGGAGGGGGCUAACGACUGGAAACGGUAGCUAAUACCGCAUACCAUCGGAUGUGCCCAGGGGGGAUUAGCUAGUAGGUGGGGUAACGGCUAACCUAGGCGACGAUCCCGAGCUGGUCUGAGAGGAUGACCAGCCAAACUGGAACUGAGACACGGUCCAGACUCCUACGGGAGGCAGCAGUGGGGAAUAUUGCACAAUGGGCGAAAGCCUGAUGCAGCCAUGCCGCGUGUAGGAAGAAGGCCUUCGGGUUGUAAAGUACUUUCAGCGAGGAGGCGUUACUCGCAGAAGAAGCACCGGCUAACUCCGUGCCAGCAGCCGCGGUAAUUC
rnacentral:rRNA from 1 species